rnacentral:rRNA from 1 species
AAAAACAUAAUUAAUAGUUAUUAUUAUUAAUAUAUCCUGCUCAAUGAAUAUUAAAUAGCCGCAGUUCAUACUGUGCUAAGGUAGCAUAAUCAUUUGUCUUUUAAUUAAAGACUAGAAUGAAAGGAUAAACAUUUAAUUCCUUUUUAUAAAUUCAUUAAUUAAAUUUAUUUUAAAUGUAAAAAAACAUUUAUAUUCAAGAGAGACGAAAAGACCCUAUUGAACUUAACUUAAGUUAAACUGGGGCAGUUAAUCAAAAAAUAUUUUAAUAAUUUAUCUUCUUUAAAUGACCCGGUCAAACCGAUUAUAUGAUCAAGUUACCAUAGGGAUAACAGCGCAAUAUUUUUCUAUAGAUCUUAUAUAAAAAAAAGAUUACGACCUCGAUGUUGAAUUAAUUUUUCUUAUAAAUGCAACAAUUUAAAAAGAGAGUCUGUUCGACUUUUAAAUAAUUACAUGAUCU